rnacentral:rRNA from 1 species
CUGGUUGAUCCUGCCAGUAGUCAUAUGCUUGUCUCAAAGAUUAAGCCAUGCAUGUCUAAGAAUAAACCCUUGAACGGUGAAUCUGCGAAUGGCUCAUUAAAUCAGUUAUUGUCUAUUUGAUGGUACCUUACUACUUGGAUAACCGUAGUAAUUCUAGAGCUAAUACAUGCGCCAAGCCCUGACUUCGGAAAGGGUGCAUUUAUUAGAUUCAAACCAUCGGUCCGUCUGGGCAACUGGGCGUGGCCUUUGAUGGUGAGUCAUAAUAACUUAGCGAAUCGAAUGGCCUUGAGCCGUCGAUGCUUCAUUCAAAUUUCUGCCCUAUCAGCUUUCGAUGGUAGGAUCUUGGCCUACCAUGGCUAUAACGGGUAACGGGGAAUUAGGGUUCGAUUCCGGAGAGGGAGCUUGAGAAACGGCUACCACAUCCAAGGAUGGCAGCAGGCGCGCAAAUUACCCAAUCCCGACACGGGGAGGUAGUGACAAUAAAUAACGAUGCUGGAUUAUUCUUAAUCCGGCAAUUGGAAUGAGAGUGAAUUAAAUCUCCACUCGAGGAACCAUUGGAGGGCAAGUCUGGU